rnacentral:lncRNA from 1 species
AUAAUCUAAUACUAAAAAAAUAGAAUUUCUAUCAGGCUUUGUUUUUUUUCUACCUACCUAUUUGUUUCCUUUUGUUCUGCUUGUCCCUUCCUGGCUUUCGUAUUUUGACCCACUCGGAAGAACUAGCGACCACCAACACGCAUUAAAGAAAUGCUAAAAUCUCAGCAAUAUUAGGAUAUAUCUAUAUUUAUAUCUAUAUCUAAUAUUAAAGAGUAUGUCGUGUGCUCUUCCUACCCAUAGUCGUAUCUAUAUACUUUUUCUGUCUGGCUUCCGUGUUACGUCCUCAUUUUUUUUCAUCCCACAUUCGGGAUUCCUAUUUUUUAUCAAAAUACUUAGUGAUAGCAACCACACACAUUCGGAAGUCCCAGCAACUACCUACAAACAUGUGAAAAACGCUAAAAUUCAUAUCUAUACCUAAUAUUAAUUAAAGAGUCUAUCAUGCUAGACGUGUGUUUCUGGCUUCCGUGUUCCAUCCGUCCUCACUUUUUUCAUCGGAAGUCCCACAGCAAGUUCUUUUUUAUAUAUCAAAAGUCCCAACGAGCACCCACAGGAAAUCCCAGUGAGCUAAAAAUAAAAGCCAAGUGAGGGAACCAAGAUCUCCAUAGUAGAAGAUCAAAUGCAUACCAACAAAACAGAUGUUUUAUGUGAUGUUUGACAAAAUCUUUUCUAUUUAACCAAGUAGUUAACACCUUAUGAAUAUAUUAGAAUAAUCUGUAUAUAUUAUAUACAUAAUAUUAAAAUAUAUAAUGUUUAUGGAAGGGAAAUCUACAUCCGUGCAUGGUAGAGAGUAUCCACAAAAUAAAGUUGAUGAUGCAUCGGUGCAUCGUGUGGAGUCCGAUUCUAAGAUAAAACAUGUCCAUACAAGUUAGAUCAACAUCAUCUACAUAUGGUAUUGAGUCAUAUUCUAUAAAUAAAUUAGAAUAGAUGACACCAACAUAGAAUAAAACACCAAACCAUGUAAUUCAUUAACUGUUAUAUAUACCUAUUCUUUUGCCCGCCUUUUUUUACGUCACACAAGCUCUCACGUUUCUUUGGUCUCUAUCUUGUUUGUAACCCACGCUCAUGCCUAACAUUACAGAGCCAAAAUUUUAUCUUUUUUUGGAAGGUCGAGUCAAAACUGUAUUAAAGAACCAACAUUUUAUUCCAUAUAUUUCGAAGGUGGAGCCCAUUUUUUAAGUAAAAAGGCUAAGGUGGAUUAGAAGAAAUGCUUCAAUCUUUAAUAUUAAAAAUAGAAAAGAAAAGAAAAGAAAAGAAAAGAAAAGAAAAGAAAAGAAUAGAAUAGAAUAGAAUAGAAUAGAAUAGAAUAGAAUAGAAUAGAAUAGAAUAGAAUAGAUAAAGAUAUAGGUAUAUUGGUAGAAAUAUAUGGAUGCGUGUUACAAGAUAUAAAGGGCACGGGGAUAGUUUGACAAGUAAACAAGCGGGGUAAAAGAAAGGAACUCAUACAGAGGUAUAGUUUAGGAAGUAAAAAGGCUAAGGUGGAUUAGAAGAAACGAUUCAACCUUUAAUAUUAAAAUAGAAUUGAUAGAGAUAGAGAUAGAGAUAGAGAUAAAGAUAGAGAUAUAUGAAUUCGUGUUACAUACAAGAUAUAAAGAAUGUGAGGACAAUUUGAAAAAGUAAACAAGUGGGACUAGAAAAAGGAACCACAUACAGAGGUAGUUUAGGAAGUGAAAAAAAGGUUAAGGUGGAUUGAAAGAAAUGCUUCGAUUUUAAUAAUAAAAAUAAAAUAAAAUAGAUAGAUAGAUAGAUAGAUAGAUAGAUAGAUAGAUAGAUAGAUAGAUACAACCAAUUUCUUGAUAUAUAUGGAUAUAUAUAGAUAGAUAUGGAUCGGAUCGGAUGGAUCGAUCAAUCCAUGCAUCUGUCUCCUCAACCGAUCAGCUGCCGGCCUGCCGCCGAUCCUAAAUUCCUAAGUGCAAUCGAGAUGUCUGCGUUUGUUUUCCCGGCCCGGGCCAUCUCCAGCUGGCCUGCUGUUCAUCGGGCAAGUACCGACGUACGGCGUGCCCGUUUAAAGGCCGGCCCUGCCGCAGCACACUCACCUGUAGUGCCACAGCGACGACAUGCUGAUUGCUUCCUUGCAUUGGUAGCUAGCGGGUGCGUGCAUGCGUACGUGCAUAUCCCAGGCCGGUCUCGAUCACACAACAAGGAAAGUGCGUGAUGUACUGUUCGAUCCUACUGUGGUGCACUGUGCAGGCAGAGGCCCCCGGCCCGGCCUUUAUUUUGUAGCGCAAAAUGGCACUGCUUGCAUUUGUGCUCUAUCUGCCUAUUAGUUGUUUAAAGCAUGCAGCAGAUCAACAGCACUACAGUAGUAUGUAACAGAACUGCAUGUAUAGCCUGAAAAGAGAAUAAGUGUACUAAAGUGGCCUCAGCAACAGUACUAUUUUUCUGCUUUUGCAUGGAUGGUAGUACAUUGUUGGCACGUGGUGGUUACUAGUUCAAUUAUUCCAGCCUCUCACUGAGUCCGUACGUACGUACGCACGUACCAUAUAUAUACAUGCACACGUUGCUCUCAACUACUACUAUACUAGUGAUGAUGAUGAACCCGAAGAUGGGUAACCAUCUUGGUUUCAGCUCGGACGUCGUCACUCUCAUAUGAUUGAUGACCUGGAGUAUAUCAUCUGACAGCUGCUGCUAUAUAUAUACGCUAGACAUUCACGAGAAAGGAAUGGAAGAUAGGAGUAGUACGUGGUCGUCGCCUCCGGCCGGCCCGUGUACGGUUCAACACAAGCUCGUGUCAUCAUAAAUUAAUAACAAGAGACAUGGAACGUGGAAAUAUUCACAUAUGUAGGGCCAUAUAGCAAGACAUGCGACGUCUUGUCUGUGCCCCUGCCCUAGCUAGCUAGCUGGGAUGAUGAAUAUUCCUUCUCGCAAGCAGAGGGCACGCAUCCACGCACGCAUGAUGUUGGCGCGCGACAUAUUCCGUGCUGGGGAAAGGGACCCGGCCGGCGGCCCAGAGAUGAUGAUGAUCCCGGAGGUCAAGUAGAAGCGACACAGCAUAUAUGCCUAGAUCGCUUUUGCCAGCCACAGGUGCAGGGGUAUGGUGCACAAGCUGGGGAUUGACUCUGCAACAACGUUACAUGUCGUGUUGGCUGCUUGUGUACAUUUGUAUGCACACACGAGCAUAUAUGUAGUAUAGUUGAUGUCUUCUUGUUAUACAUUACCACUACUUUUAUGAACACUUUCCAAUGCACAUAGUAUAUAUGGCCAUGGAUGGUUGCCAUGAUUUGCAGUCAAAACUAGUAGACACAGGGUAGGAGACGUAGCCUGGACAAAUUACCCGAUACCCAUUACCCGUACCCGAAUUACUCGGACCCGAACCCGAGGUACCCGAUCCUAAAUUCGGAUAGCGAUUUUGAUUACCCGAAAUUAGUUUGGGUAAUUCGGGUAAUAUCCCCCGGUACCCGAACUACCUGAAUUAUCCAAAUAUUUGUCUAAAUCUUUGUAUUUAUCAUGUGUUGUUAGUUAAAUAUUAGAACUUAUCAAAUUGCUAUUAAAAUUCUAUACAAAUUGCUGCUGAAAUUAUAUAUAAAUUGCUAUUGAAAUUUUGUGUAGUGUGUUGUUUUUUGAAAAUUUGGGUAAAUCGGGAAUACCCGAACCCAAACCCAAAUUAUCGGGUACCCGAAAUUGCGGGUAGUGUUUUUUCGGGACUAAUAUCGGGUAACAAUUUUCAUUACCCGAAUUACCCGACCCGAAAAAAUCGGGUAACCCAAAUGCCCAGGCUCAUGUAUGGUGUUUUCCUUAUGCUUCAAAUAAUUAAAUAGGAGAUAGAGGAAUGAAGUACUAUGUCUAUGGACUGGAGAACUAAUCAAUGUAUGCUCGGUUUAGGAUAAUACGUGGGGAACUAAACUCUAAUAUAGACAUAAAUGAGUGAUUGAUAGAGUAGUAGAGGAGGCUAUGUGCGAGAGGGAGGUUACAGAUUUGAAUCUUGUCGGCCACGUAGCGCGUGAUUUUGCGCUAAAAAAGUGCGCGACUUUAUAUUCUUUGGAUACUGGUGGUUACUAGUAUUGUGUCCAUUAAAUUUUUGCUACCUAUGAUAUCUCACUCAUUUCAAAUGAAACUAUGAUGAUAUAUGUUGGGCUCGAUAUUCAAGGUUGAUAAACCUUGUACAACUUUGGACGCAUUGUCAUAUGUACAACAUUUGCAUCCAAUGUUAGCUUGAGGUAUGCACAAAGUUGCACAAUUGAACACACAUGCCCAAACAUGUGGCUACAUAUUGACAUAGACAAUUAGACAACAAACACAUAUUUCUUAAAUGAGUACAUCAUUGCUAAAAAUGGCAACGGGCACAAUGCCCGCGGAUACUAGUGCCGCAUGCCCGCACCCGCGAGCAAACUUGUGUGCCCGUAUCCGCGCCCGUCAUCCGUCGCGGGCGCCAUCCUGUCCCCGCGCCCGCCAUCCGCGGGCAUUCCUUGCCCGCGGGCGUGCCCGCGUGCCCGCCAGAUCUGGCGGCGAAAGGCAACUGGACGAGGAAGGCAGCUUGACGAGGACGAGGAUGUGCGCCGGCGUGAAGUAACCCGGUGCAGAGCAACUUGACCACGGCGCAAGUAGGGAGGCGCGACGCAGCCGCCACGAGUGGAGGAGCAAAAGUCGAGUCGCGUGGGUGACGGCGAGGGUCUGUGGCAGUGGGUGUCUCCGGUCGCCGUGAGUGGAGAAAGAGCAGGAGCAGCAUGCGACCGCUCACGCGACCGAGUGGAGGAGAGCAGAGCCCGCGCAUGCGACCGAGUGGAGGAGAGCAGAGCUAGAGCCGCAUGGCUUGUGAGUUGUGACGGUGAGGAGGGGAGCAACAUGCACUGGGGAUGGCGAGGAGAGGGUCGCGCGAGUGGCGGCGGCGGCCGCUAGUCGGCUGCUGGGGACGGCAAUUUGGGAGAAAGAAACCCUAAUUUGAAGAAUAUAUACCUCUUUUUAAGUGACCCCACUUGUCAGUGCGGGUUUGGCGGAUUUGCGGGUGCGGGCAAGGUAUUCUCUUGCCCGUAUAUCUUUGCCCGCUGGGCACAACUGUGUGCCCGCGCCCGUGCUCGCGGGCACAAAGUGACGCCCGUAUCCGCGUCUGACGGGUCGGGUGCCCGCGGGCACGCGGAUAUUUCUUGCUCGUUGCCAUCUUUAAUCAUUGCACAUGUAUAUCUAUAUCACACCACGCAAGCUGUCCACGUCAGUAUCCACUAGCACAUCCUACUAGCACAUGUAAAUAUUUUGGUCAAACAUAAAAUGUGUUGACUCUUCAAAAAAAUUGGAACGGAUUAUAAUUUAGAACAGAGGCACUAGAUACUAAUUUGGUGUCAUAAGUCUUGAUGCUUUUUUUUAUAAAUCUGGUUAGAUUUUAAAAGGUUUAAAUUAAGACAAGCGUCGAAGCAAAGGGAGAGUAAUACAAUAAGGGCUAAUUUGAAAAGCAAAGGGAGGUACACCAGGGAUGGAAAAACCUUUUAUGAUAAACUAAAUAAUUAUUUAAAUUAAAAUUUUCACCGAUCCUAAAGAGAUUUGAGUUUACACAUUAGCCCUAAAGGGAUAGCAUAUAAUACUAGCGCGCUAAUUAAAUACCAUAAAUGUGUAAAGGAUGAGAGAUGAUAAGUUGAUAAUGAUGCAUGAUUGGGUAGUGUUCGAUGAUGCCAACCAAGAAGAAGCCAAAGAAAGAUGACUGUGGUACCGUACCGAAAAAGAUGUAAUGGCCCACCCAACCAGUGUAAUCAAUUGCAACUUUCCUGCCCCUCAUUCGAUUUCCCUCACCAAAAAGAUACAUGGCUCAUGUUCCUAUGAACUGUUGCUAAGGUCAUGCAAAUUGCAAACACCACCAUGCAUGUGUGCUCUCGAUCUGUCUCCUACAUGUAGGGAACUAAGUCAUGAGAGAGGAGUCUGUCUGAAGUUCUGUACUUUGGAGUGGCAUACAUGCAUGCAUAAUUGCAUAUAUAUGCCAGGUUAGUUAGAUACAUCACCGCUUCUAAAUGCUACCUCUUUCCAAGAAGAUAGCAUUUCUAUCGUCUAAGCCAGACAUUUAUAUGUCUCAGAUAAAUCUAAUGAUAUGUUUUGAAAACAAUGGCAGGAGCUUUGCUGAUCAUGUAUUCAUAGAUAACAAAAGCAUAUCAACAAAGAAAAGAGGAAAUAAAAAUACUCAAAAGCCGUCGAUAUAUAUAUGGUUAAACUUGUCAAAUAGUCAGACCGUAGGUUAGUCAAGGUUGUCAAAUAUUUGGCUCUAAUUCUUCAAUCAGAAAUUCAGAACUCUUGCAUACAAUACAAGGCAGUCAGCAGUGAGUGGAUGCAUAAUGGAAGAGCGAGGAAAAUGUAAAGAACACUGGAGCUGGAGGACAAGGCAUGCAUGCUAUAUAUGAAGAGGAAAAAUUAAAUUAGGCCUUGUUUAGUUUCCAAAAAAUUUUGCAAAAUUUUUCAGAUUCUCCGUCACAUCGAAUCUUUAGACGCAUGCAUGGAGUAUUAAAUAUAGACGAAAAUAAAAACUAAUUACACAGUUUGGUCGAAAUUGACGAAACGAAUCUUUUGAGUCUAAUUAGUCCAUGAUUGGACAAUAUUUGUCAAAUACAAACGAAAGUGCUACAGUAUCAAUUUUGCAAAAUUUUUUGGAACUAAACAGGCCUUAAAAGCGAUUCCCUUUUGUUGCGCUCAAAAGGCGCUAGGGGUCCAUCGACCGUCCGGGCUCAUAGGGAUUCGGAUGGGAUGUUCUUCUCGCGUUGCUGUCUGGAUUGGACUGAACCGCUUGGGCUCACCUGCUCCGCUCCCGCCUUUAUUUGAUCUCCCUGUCUCUUCCGCUGCAGCAUUGUUCAACUCCUGCACCUCUUGCAAGGCUGCACGCAUGCAGGGCUACUGCUCACGCAGUCCGGGCCCACGCGCCUUGUCCUCGCCCACCUAUCCCCACGCGCCAACGUGGAUUAUUCGCGUCCAACGUGUCCGGGCGUCUUUCUCUGUGUCUUGAACAGUAUAAACACUCUCUCGGCAGCCACUCGAAAAGUUUAUUUUAGAAUGAUAAAGUUAAACAACUUAUUACCAUUCGGAAUAAUAGAGCAGUUAGUGAUAUUAGUGUCAGAUGAAAUUCUGAAAAUCUUCCCGUCGACAGGUAAGGAAACACGCAGAAUGCAGUGCCGAGCCAUCCAUGGUCAUCUACUCUUCUGACACUGUACUGUUUGCUCUACCUGUAGGGUGUACACUCAGAGACUACGGUCUUGUUUAGUUCCUGAAGUGAAAAGUUUUUUUAGUAGUGUAAUACUUUUGUUUGUAUUUAAUAAUUAUUGUCCAAACAUAGACUAAUUAGUUUUAAAGAUUCGUCUCGUAAAUUACAGAUAAACUAUAUAAUUAGUUUUUUUAUCUAUAAUUAAUGUUUUAUACAUAUACCACAAGAUUUGAUAUGAUAGAGAAUCUUAAAAAGUUUUUGAAUUUCAGGUGUAACUAAACAAGGCCUACCUGGUGACGAUUUGAGUAGGUGAUGAGAUUUUAUUUUCCUUCAAGUCGUCGGAUGUCCUAAUACCUAAAACAUUGUAUAAAGAAGCAUAAAAACUAGUCAAUAAAGGUAAAUGAACUUAAAUAGGUAUCCAAAACAAUCAAUUGGAGUACUCGCGUCCCCAAGUGGCCUAAAGUUCUACAGACUACAUAACACACGCCAUCAGCAGCAAGCGGGUCAUAUUUUGAUGAGUUCCAUUGAUAAUCACGGCCUGUGUUACACUGGCCUGCCAAAAAGCCCACUGCAAUGACUGAAAAAGCCCAGCCCAAUUAGGGCCUAUAUAGCUAGCACUAAAAGGACAUCAAGCGAGGACAGCACAAAGCCACAAACCGGCAUGAUAUUUCACAGUGCGGUCACUUUCGACAAAUACAGAGAAAGCCAACAUUGUGAAUCUGUGAUGGCGUUUGAAGUUGAGGACAGUGCUUGGCGGCGGCGCCAUGUACUCAACGGGUUUGGCCGUUUCAGUAUACUCACUCAUAUGUUGUCAGCUGGUUCGUAUUUGUCAUCUUCAGCAGCGUUGUUAACAAAGUAGAUGCAAUCGUCAGGCAGGCUGACCCAAUCUGAAUCUACAAUCUUGUCUGUGAUGAUCCAAUCGUUUUUGGUGCUGUAGUAGUCGUUUGUUCUGUCCCACCGGCAGGAGAUUGUUUCUCCACUUAACACCUUAACUCUAGCAAAGAAACUCUGGUAGUUAGGGCAGUUGUGAUUCGUUGUAGGAUCACGUUUCCAUAUGAAUAAACUUAUUUUUAUUCAAUUUUGCAAUAUAUACGGAUAUGCUUAACAAUUACAUAUCCUUGCGCUAUUUUAACAUAAAUCUACUAAUCAACGAUUAUGCAUGUUAACAUGUUAGCACCUGGCAUGCUAAGUCAGUAUAUAUUAGACCGAUUACUUUGUCCAUCUCUGUACUGAUCUGAUCCUGCUUCCAAAUAUAUACUGUAUAGAAUAAAAGACGGAAGAUUUUUUUUUCCUGCUCGUUUUCAUCCCUAAGGCUACAACAAGGGCAGACGACCACCUAUACUAGGCGCCAAUCAUCAACGAUCUGAUUCUGUUUCUGCGUAACAAGUACGAGGCGGCAAUCAACCAUCUGUUUCUGCGUAACAAGGUCUCCUUCUGUUUCUGCAUAACAAGGCUCUCCGUUUUUGGACGUGCACCGUAGCAACCCCCGUGACCUUGCCACCGGCAUCAACCGGAUGCUGCUCUGCUACCAGCAGCUAGCCCGUCUCUACAGAUUCCAUAAACCUGACAACAAUUGGCAUCCAUGAAAGGCUCUACAUACAAGAAUCAAUCAACCUUGGGCUUUUCCAGCGGGGGAAAAGAGCAUGGAAAAAUAAACUUCCAAAUAUAGUGCUCCGCGAUUGCAAUACAGUUUCAGACCAACAAACAAUUUCAAGUUCAGAAUCAACAUUUUAUAGGCAAAGCAAAGUUGAACAAUACAUAUAUCUCCUCAAAUAACAACUUUGUUUCGCCUGGUUCAGCUUAAGUAGAUGCUUAUAAGAUUACAUGUUCCACUUAGAUUAGAACAAAAAGCUCAGGAUCAGCUAUGCCACUGCCACUAACACUUCUUGCAGGCCUCCACUCCUGUUCAUGAUCUCCCUGACUAUCUGUACUGCUCAGGGAGCCGAUAGCCUGUCAUGACUAUCUUAUCUGCAAACAUCUUGCCAGUCUUUGGCAUAAUGUGCCAGUGCAUUGUUAAGUUGAAUUCCUUGCCCUUUAGAUUGCUUCCCUGUAAUGAGAUAAAAACAAGUCAUUAAUCAACCAUUCAAUGCAAUCUCCGAAGAAUCAUAUGACGCAGUACAUAAUAACUUUUUGGUAGUUGCAAAGUACAGCAUGUGCACAUUGAUCGAAGUAAUGAACAGAACGUAGGCCAGUACAAACCUAUCCUAACACAAAUAAAGGAUAUUGAUAUCAAAGAAUACUCAGUACACCAGUAAUGGUCAACCUGUACUUAUAUACCAACCCAAAAUUAAUGUCAAGAACGAACGACCACAUGGGAAAUGGGUGUGGGUCUGGACCCAAUACUGUUCUACCAGAAUUUACGUAGAUUUGGAAUUUCUAUUGAGUAGGCUGAAAGCCAUGUAAAAACAUAAACUUGUUUGCAUGGUUCAGCAUCAUGAACAAUUAUAAGUAGAUCCCUGGCUCAAAAUACAUAUACAGAAAAUGGAAAAGACCCUUAUUCAUAAAAAUUUCAGAAUAAUACCAAAGUACAUCAGUCCCAAUGACAAAAUUUUAUAGACUGAACUAGCAUUCGAUCUAUGUAAUGUGCUUGCCUGGUCAAUAAAUCUGUACUUGUUUGUGGUAUGGAUCAAAAACUUGGCAUGCUCCUUUGCAGGUAUAAUACCAUCCCAAAGAGAAACCUGUCACAUAAUCCAAAUACACUUACAAUAUAGUUGUAAGAGAAAAUCUGAAAUAUAACAGAACCUCAGAAGGCAACAAAAAUCAUUCAAUAGGGCAACAGACAUCAUACUGGACUACUGGUAUAGAUAUCCAUAGUCAUAAAAAUAAUAUUGAACCAAGGGGAUAGACAUUUCAUAGGCAUUGCACUUAGGUCAAGAAAAGACCCUGAAAGUCAGCUACUAUCUGCAAGCUAAAGCUUUACUAGCUACCAUGCCAGGACCACAGGGAAUACACAACAAGGGGGUUCUUUUUGUGAGAACCAGGGUUCAAGCCGUGGUUGGCAGCUCACUUGGAAGUGCUACCACCAUGCUAUGUCCACAUUCUCUCUAUGAAGUCAUAAGAUUGUAUCACAUAAAAAAAAUAUAGUCUCGAGUUGCUCACCCAAAGUUCAGAAAACCAACAGUAAUUGUGCAAAUAACAAAGUGGUACAGGUAUCCAUUAAGUCCAAGAGUAUAUAUCACAUAAAUAUAUAGAGCAUAGUGUCAAGUUACUAGCCGAAAAUUUGGAAAACCAGCAGUAAUUAUGCAAAUUAUAAAGCUAACAUCAAGAACACUGUCUAUCUUGUUCUAAAAUGUUAUUUUGAAGUUCCUUCGAUCAGAUUUAUUAGCUAGCUGGCUCUAGAAGGACAUGGAUUAAUUAAGCUAACAGACUUGAGUUUUUCCCUGAUAUAUACUUCAACUGUAGUUCACCUAGAUUUACAUAUACAUGUGAAGAAAAAAAAACCCAUCAACAACACAUGUAAAAGGCUAAUGGGCUAGGUCAAAUUGUAUAGCUUAGAAAGAUUUGGCACAACCACACAGCAAAGUAAAUUCGCUUUCCAAAACCACUAUAUCUGUCUGCCACAACUCCCAAGUCCCAACUUAUGUUGAAGGACAGACCAAGAAGAAAGCUAUAUGACAUCAUUACUGCAACCCUCAAGCAAGUGGCAAUUGCAUGAUAUUGGCUAUUGCAAUGCAGUACCAAGCAGAAAAUUCAUGCCUCUAUGGACAAUUGAUGCAGGCUUAUUGUAACUGAUAAUCAUAUAUGAGCCACUAUAAUAAUCGCCCAAUCACAAGUAAUAUAUUGACUCAAGAAUAACAAUCGACAGACUUACUUGAUUCAAAGCAUUCUGUGGAGUCUCAUACUCUGCUGCCACAAAAACAAACACCUACAGUCAUGCAGCGAAAGUAAAGUUAAGCAGACAGAAGCAAGAACCUUCUAAAGUUUCGCUUGAACAGCACUAAUAGAUCAGGUGCAUUAGAAAUUCAGUUGCACAGAUGUAUUAUAAUACACUGAAAUUUUCUGUGGCAAAUUUCCAUUAUAUUUCUUAUAAUAGAUCAUUCUGCAACAAAUGAGAACACUGUAAUACAGUUAACCAAAACUCAGGCUCAAAUUGUCAUUCAAAGACCCAGACAGCAACGAGAGAGUACUUCAUGUGCUCAAGGAUUCCUCUUCAGUUACUUUUCUAAAACCAUACUUUCUAGUGCAGAAAAACUUAGUAAUGAUGUGGAAACUGGAACAUGAGGGGAAAGGGUAUCAAGUACCAGAAAUAGAAAUUACCUGUUUUGUGUUCCACGUGAAAAGAGAUGAAAGGUCUGCCGAAAUGUUCAGCGUCAUGCUAACCUGAACGAACAAAAGAAAUUAAUCGUUACAAAUUCGAGGCACAUAUCUGACACAACUAGUCUGAUGCUAGGUUUGACUAAUUUGCAAACAAAAAAAGGAUACGGAUAUGAGUUACCUCGUCGUUGCCGUUGGCCUCCUUCUGGAACCAGUUUAUAUUCAAGAUCUGUGUAACCCAAACGAUGGGGAUCCCAUUAGCAUGACACAUGAAGAUUGUACAAGCAGAUCGAGCCGCCCACGCUCGAACUCACAAAUUAAGAUAGGUACGCCGGCGGAGAUCGGACACAACGCAGCCAGGCAGGCUCGACGGGAUUGAGAGAGACGGGGUGGGGGCAGGGGAGAGGGAUGCGGUACCUUGACGGAGGCGGUGGGUGUCGGGGUGUUGAAGUUGUCGGAGAAGGAGGCGGCGAAGCACAUCGCGGCCAGUAUGGUGACCCCGAACGUUGCCACCGCGUUGGCGCGGUGCCCAAAGGAGUGCAUCCUGUCGCGGCUCCGCUCCCUCCCUUACCGCGCCGCAGCAGCCGAGAUCGCCGGGCCUGCCUCUGCCGCUGCCGCUCCUUCUCCUUCCUCCUGUCGCGGCGGCGCCGGCGACUUCACUGCAGUUUCCUUCCCUCUGUCUUCGUUUCCUCGGGAAGUGCUUACGGAAGAGAGAGAAGUUGGCCCGUUCAGAUCCCCCUUGACGGGCUGGGACCCGCCCGUCGGUGAGAGCCGCGAGUCUGACAUGGCACGCGCUGAUUGGUCGACGCACGUCACGGAGGAGGGGCUCAGCCAGUCAAGAGUCAGGGUGCACGUGGGCCACAAAUGGACCUAUUCCGGCCCAUUCGUACGAGUCGACCCAGGAAGCUUACAAAAUCUCCCAUUUGGCCAUGGGAGGCCCGGCCUGGCCCGGCAGUGAAAGAGAGUGAACGCGACGCAGCCGAGGCGGGAAACCCUAACCUAAUCCUCGGGUGGCGGCGGCGGUUUAGCGCGCGUUUAACUUUUAAUAUAAUCAGGUCAGGCCAUGAGCCCAGGACGCUGACGGCUGACGCAGGGCGGCCCCGUUUGGGCAAUGUCACAAUCGGCAGCCCGGCGCCAACCACCGUCCACCGUUGUUGCUUCCACACCACAGCCACACGCACCGCCAACACCCAGCGCAUCGGCCGGCUGGCGGCGCCCGCGACUUGGCUGUCACCACACGCGCCCGCCGACGCCGACCAGGUCCCGUAUACCCGCAGCGGCGUCGCCGUUCCCGGAAACCAACCGCACACGCUAAUCAAAAAAAAGAUUAGUGGAGCACUGCCCGCCUGACCCUUCCUUUCUCGUUCUUUAGCACCUGCUCCACGAGAGCACGCCAGCGGAAAGAAAAGGAUUAGUAGACCAGAAGCUUAAGGCUAGCUACAGAAAGACUGCUGCCUUGCUGUUCAUUUCCCUUGCUUGUUGAGCCGUUAAGCGUAGUACGUGCAGUUUGUUCGUUUAUUCCAUUCCACGCAUCCCAACAAUUCGUCAAUCCCCAGCCGCACGCACGAGAGAGGGAGAUUCCCUGCUCCGAGCGUCUUCGCUGCCUUGUUGGUUUCCGUCCUGUCCUUCGCUUGCUUUGACUUGGGGUAGUUGGGUUUUCUUUCUCCCCCUCCCCUUCCUCCAGGCUUGCUGGGGAUUUGGUUGCUUCCUGUCGGGUUUUGAGAGGAGCGGCGCUCUUGAAUUGUUGCUUUCAGUUGGUCCGUUUGGCAAGGUUUGACAGGAGAAAGGUGAGAUUUCUGUCGAAUUCCACCUUGGUUCCGUCGAAUUUGGGAGUUUCUUGAGGAUUCGAGGCGGCGUUUGGUGAUUGCGAGAAGAGGGUAAAGGAGUAACCUUUUGGUUGUAGGUUUGUUGCCGGAGAUGGGCAAGCCGUCGCUGAAGAAGAAGAGGGCCUCCGGCGGCGGCGGCAAGUCCGGGGACCAUGGGGGCAAGUCGGCGUCGCUGGAGCGGUCCGGCUCCAAGGUCCUCGACGGCGACGAGACCCUCUUUACGGACAUGGCGCAGGAGCACAAGGAGGAGGGCAACAAGCUCUUCCAGCGCCGGGACUACGACCGCGCGCUGCUCAACUACGACAAGGCCAUCAAGCUGCUGCCCCGGGCGCACCCCGAUGUCGCCUACCUCCACAGCAACAUCGCCGCCUGCUACAUGCAGAUGAGCCCGCCCGACUACUACCGCGCCAUCAACGAGUGCAACGUCGCGCUCGAGACGUCGCCCAAGUACACCAAGGCGCUGCUCAAGCGGGCGCGCUGCUUCGAGGCGCUGGGCAGGCUCGACCUCGCCUGCAGGGACGUCAACAAGGUGCUCGUUCUGGAGCCCAACAACCUCACUGCGCUGGAUGUGGCCGACAGGGUGAAGAAAUCCAUGGAGGAGAAGGGGAUUGUGUUGGACGACAAGGAGAUCAUGCCCACGCCGGAGGAGGUAGUGGCCGCUGCGCCCAAGCAGAAGCCGCGCAAGAAAAGGGGAGGACGGAAGUUUGCUGCCAAGGCUGCGGCUGCUGCUGUGGAGGAGGUCGAUGAACAGAAGAUUGCGGAAGCUGUCAAAGAGGAGGAAGUGGAGGAGCAGCCAAGGCAGGUGAAACUUGUGUUUGGGGAGGACAUAAGGUGGGCUCAGGUGCCGGCGAGCUGCAGCAUGGCACAGCUGCGCGAGGCCGUCCGGAGCAAGUUUCCUGGGCUCAAGGCUGUUCUUGUCAAGUACAAGGACAAGGAGGGUGAUCUUGUGACAAUCACCAACCAGGAUGAGCUGAAAUGGGCUGAGGACUUGGCUGAGGCUGGGAGCUCACUUCGGCUGUAUGUUACCGAGGCCAAUCCAGAGCAUGAACCUUAUGUUGAUGACACCAAUAGUGGGCCAUUGGAGAGAAAUGUAAACAGUGCUUCGGAUAAUGGGAGUAUCAGAAGCAAUCGGCAGGAUGAGGACAGGAGCACGGUGACUUGUAUUGAUGAUUGGAUUGUGCAAUUCGCUCGGCUUUUCAAGAACCAUGUUGGGAUUAGCUCUGAUGAGUACCUGGACCUCCAUGAGGUUAGUAUGAAGCUCUACACUGAGGCAAUUGAGGACACUAUUACUACUGAAGAAGCCCAGGAGGUGUUUAAUCUUGCUGAGGGAAACUUCCAGGAGAUGGCAGCACUUGCAUUUUUCCACUGGGGUAAUGUUCACAUGUCCCGAGCCAGGAAGAGGUUGCUGCUAUCAGGGGACUCCCCAAGAGAAUUGGUGCUUGAGCAGGUGAAGGAAGCAUAUGAAUGGGCAAGGGACGAAUACAAUAAGGCUGGAAAGAGAUAUGAAGAUGCCGUGAAGGCCAAACCAGACUUUUUUGAAGGUUUCCUUGCACUUGCACAUCAGCAGUUUGAACAAGCAAAACUGUCAUGGUACUAUGCAAUUGGUAGUAACGCAGAUUUGGACAGCUGUUCUUCCGAAAUCCUGGAGCUCUUCAAUAAAGCCGAGGAUAACAUUGAGAAGGGUAUAGAGAUGUGGGAGUUAAUGGAAGAACAGCGUCUGAAGAAUCGAUCUAAACCUAGCCAGGAGAAUGUUGUGCUAGAGAAGAUGGGCUUGGAGGAGUAUAUCAAGGAUGUGUCCACUGAUGACGCGGCUGAACAGGCUUCCAAUUUGAGGUCUCAGAUAAACAUUUUAUGGGGUAUGCUCCUCUAUGAGCGUUCAGUUGUGGAAUUUAAAUUAGGUCUUCCAAUGUGGGAGGAUUGUCUGAUGGCAGCUAUUGAAAAGUUUAAACUUGGGGGAGCUUCUGCUACAGAUAUUGCUGUGCUGGUGAAAAACCACUGCGCCAAUGAAACUGCCCAAGAUGGUAAGAGAAAUUUACUGCUUUAUUUUUGUCUACUUUUGGCGUGAGAACUACAUUGUUGAUUUUGCUGGAGAAUACUAGAACUAUAAAGGGAUUAUUAUGCAAAGUGUUAAUUGAAUUGUGCUGACUACCAUUUAUUUUGUGAAUCCUUUAUAGUAGUCACACUGAGCUUGUUAGAUUAAUUAUUGGACCUUGACAUUUGGGAGUUCACCUAUUAUCAUUGUUUAAAAUAUUAUUAUGUAGCACAUUCAUUAACUGUUAAAUCACGUUCAGCAUAUUUUCUCUUAAAAACAUUGUGCAAAUGAUGAUUGCAUAGCACAAUCAUUGACGUUAGUGGCUGAGGAUUGUAUGCUAUGCUGAAUGUUUCCAAAUCCCACCCUUAUUAUUCAAAGUCAUCCUUGAAUGUUCAAAAACAGUGGAGAAAGUAUUAAGUAUUAACUAUGAUUGUCCAAUUUCUUUGUAGGUUUGGGCUUCAAGAUUGAUGAAAUUGUUCAAGCCUGGAAUGAAAUGUAUGACAUUAAACGGUGGCUGCGUGGUGUUCCAUCCUUUCGUCUUGAGCCAUUAUUUAGGCGAAGGGUUCCACAAUUGCAUACUGCACUUGAACAUAUAUAGUACUCAUGAAGCUGCUCUAUAGCGUAUUGAAUUUCAAGGCUUUUUUUAUCAGUGCCACUUUUCUCUUUUUGGUGAGUACAAUAACUGCAUGUUUAUCUUGUAAUAGAUUAGUUUUAUUCAUAUGAGGAUGCAGUGUGCAUUAUGAUAUUCAUUGAUUUUUUUCCUUUAUCUGCAUCCUUGCACUUUCUAAGGUCAAAUGUUUGUGACUAGAUCUUUUCCAUGCCAUGUGGUUUGGGAAGCGGUUGAUGUACUUUGCUUUGAUUUGAAGAUAGCUGUAGAAGUGAUUUGAUUGUGGUGCAACAAGUUUGUUCUUUUUUUUCCAAGAAGAAAUUUUCCUAACAUAUUCAAGCACUAGGAUUCCAUUGGUGCUGUUUCCACUUUUAUCAUCAAUACAUGUUAGUACUUACUGAUUAAAUUCACAUCCCUUGGUAUAUGAACUUCAUUGCUUUCUGAUUGUGCCUUCAAAGGGGAAACACUGUAUCAUCGAUCUGGUCACUGCUAUGUAAAAUAAUUUUAUAGGCGACUACCAGUUUUACAGUUUCGAUGAUCUGUUUUAGGGACUUCAACCUAGGUAGUAGGCAAAUUUUUCCACUGGUGUGAACUCUGAAUAUAAUUUUUUUUAAGGUGGACUUAAAGUAAACUUAAGCAUGUUUGCUUGAAGCAGCUCAGAACAUCUUAAAAGGUUGUGGAUUUGUGGAGUCCAACACCAGUUUGGUGUUCCUUUGUACAGUUUUACUACCAGACUACAAUUCAUUGUUUGUGCCAUGAGCCCAUGAUCUUUGUAAUUCAAGUCAGAUGAUAUGUGUCUGCCCUUACUGAAUUUUCUAAUUGAUUUCACUCUGCAGGUCAAUUGCUGCAUGGGAUACACAUGGAUUUGUUAUGUUGCAUUUUUUUUAUACAUGAAAGAGUCUGCUUCCUGGUUGUGAAGCAAUUCAUACACAAGCCUAUUCUUUUCACAAGGCUGGUAGCCCUCUGCGAUUUGCAUUCGCUAGUUCUUGUUUUGGUCAGGUUUGCUAUGUAACGCACAGGAAGCUGUGCUUUUGUUAUUGAAUUAGUGAUUCAUAUUCAUAUGAUUGUGACAUGGUAGUCCAUCGUUGGAGGAUGGGAUUGGUCGUAUCCUCCUCUUGCUUUGUGGUAUUUUAUCUGUUCUGCAACACAAUGUGCAAACCCAGUUAGGCUUGUACUACAGUCACAUUUAGAAUUCGUUGUCGUUUAAGCUUGAAAGAAUGAAAAGAAAAGAAAAAGAAAAAGAAAAGGCAUAGUAUGUUCAUGUUGAGCUGCUUUUGCCUUUAUGCUCCAUCAAGGAUUUCAUGAGAAUAGUGUAUUUGAGAGAUAUAUAUGUAUAUACAGCUACCGUGGUCUGGGUGAGGUUUAAUUCGAUGUAUGCAGUUUAUUAUCCCUUGGGUUGUUGGCUGUUUGUUGCAGCAGAGUUUGGUGAGUUUGGGUUCACAUGUCAUACCAUGAAGGAGAGGGCAUUGCAUAAAUACUUGGUAGCAUGAGAAGGCACUCAAAGUCACAGAACACUGAUAAACGUCCACAUCCGCAGCGCACAGAUGAGAUGCAUCCCGUGCUCUGUGCUCACCAAGCUUGGGCUGGAGAGGUUUGGGGUUGGGAGGUAUCAGCAAAAUUGCAGCAGAGUACAGAAGUCUCUUGCGCGUCUUCUGGGCACCAUCCAUCUGAAGCUCAGUCUGUUGCUGUUGAGAGACAAGUAGCUGUACCUGCUAGGCUGGUCGUUCUUGUGCCCGUCCUCGCGAUGACGUUCUUGUGCCCGUCCUCGCGAUGAAGAGCGGUGGGAUUAAAGGUUUCACGAUGAAGGGGGCAGUGAACUUUACAAGCUAGCGUCCUCCGAGAGAGAGUUCACUUGCAUGUGGAAAAGUUUUGGUUUGUUCCAGGGUCACUUUUAUCUGUGCCCAUUUUUUACAUGAUAUGUUCGAGGGGCUUCCACCUCUGAUGUAGGAGAUAUGUUCGAGGGGCUUCCACCUCUGAUGUCGGACAAAUUUAACUAGAAAAGUUAUGGCUAAAAGCAAUAUUAUCUUAUUUAUUAUGAAAAAAAUAUCAUUGAAUGGCUGACUGGUUUGGAGAUAACUUCAAGCAAACAAGCUCUUAUUCGGAACUCCUAGACCGAUGCGGAAUUGGUGACUACUGACUACUGCUUGAAGAAACCACUAGGUGCUUUCACAGUAGUUGCUUGAUGUAUUUGCUAGCACGAGGCCAGCUAGCAUGUGGGUUUAGGCCAUCUGGUGCAAUCUCUACACUCCCUCCGUCCCAAAAUAAAUGUUGUUUGCAUUUUUCAAAAAAUAACUUUAACUAAAUAUAUAAUAAAAAAUAUUAAUAUUUAUAAUACAUAAUUAGUAUCAUUGGAAAGAUUAAGUCUAGUUUUUUAACAAAUUUAUUUAGAGAUAUAAAUAUUGCACAUAUCUUCUACAAAUUGAGUCAAAGUUGUGACAUGAAAACCUAAAACGAUACUCUUUUAGGGACGGAGGGAGUAGUUGUUAAGAAAAGUAACAAGUGACUUUAUAUACGACCGAUGCCAUUCAUUCGUGAUCCAAUGGCUGCUGGCCGUCUUUGCUCUCUCUCCUAAAGUCCUAAUACAAGCCUGCACAGCCCACACAAAAACAGCAACUGAGGCCCGCUUUAUGGACGGGAAAGGAACACAUAGUUCACAAGUGAAAUUUUCGACCUUAGCUUUUAGUUAAAUCCAAUAGAACAACCCAACAAGUAAGUGAUGGUUGCAUUCUAUUUUUAUUCCUUUGAUCGCUUCCAUAUGCCUAGGAAUGAGCAUAUAAUAUGUUUUUUCUUUCUCCUCGAUUACGAGCUGACUCGAGGUUCCAAACGACGUAUUGGAGGUUUAACUUCUUAUUAGGACAAAUCAUGUAGUCUUUAGAGGUGUAUACAUAUUAUUAUUAGGCUUUAAUUGUUUUAUUGUGCCUAUCAAUUAAAUAAAAAAGAUGGCCAAUAAACCAAUAUAUUUUUAGUUACCUCGCCACUAAAGAUAAACUUUCUUAACAUGGUCACUUUUGCCAUGAUCAAAUAAAAUAUUUUAGAGAAAUAGAUGGGGACGAUAUGGCUUAUGAACUACUCCCUCCAUUCCAAAUUGUAAGUCAUUCCAAGAAUCUUGGAGAGUCAAACUUUUCUAAGUUUGACCAAACUUAUAUGAUAAAAUUAUUAUUAUUAUGAUACCAACUAAGUAUCAUUAGAUUCUUCUUUAAUUAUAUUUUCAUAGUAUACUCACUUUACGUUACAAAUUUUAGUAUUUCUCUCUAUAAUUUUGGUCAAACGUGAAAAUGCUUUGACUCUCCAAGAUUAUUAGAAUGACUUACAAUUUAAGAUGGAGGGAGUAUGUAUAAAAAAACUUAAGAUAAAGUAUAUAGCAAAUUAAUAAAAGAACAUCUCGAUCCCAACCUUCGCCCACCUAAGACCUUGUUUAGAUGUUGUCAGAUUCACUUCAACCCAUAUGUAUUGGUGUGGACUGGGCAUGUGGAUUAAUAUAAAUCCAACUAGCAGCAGGGCGCGGCGGGUCUGGACCCGAAACCCGUGAGUUUCAGACCAAGGAUGGGUCCAGAUCUCGGCCCAGGUUUGCAGGUUGGGGUACCGAAACGGAGCGGGGUGGCGCGGGUUUUAACUCUCCCCCGUGUGCCCUUCGGGGACCCGAAAUGUAUCCCAUCCAGUGAAAAAGGCCCCCCAGGCGCGGCCCAUUGACCUGUAACCCUAGUAUAUGUAAUAGAAGCCCACCAAGCGCGGCCCACUGACUCUUCUUCUCCUCCCUCUUCACCUCCCGUGCCGCAGCCCGCUCGCUCCCGCUCACUCCCGCACAGGCGCCGCCGCUCCCUCCUGCACCCGCUCACUCUCGCACCCCGCACCCGCACAGGCGCCGCCGUACCUGCGGCCCUCCGCCCUCUCUGUCUGCGAUGACUGGGUGGACUACCGCCGCCGCCCUACCCCAGGUGGUGAGGCCUUUGCCUACCUCUUCGCCGGCGAUGAGCGCCCACCAGGUGAGUUCUCAAACUGUAACCUACUACUUGGCUAUUGAUGCCUACUAACUUCUAACUUUUUGCAAAAAAAAAUGGGUGUUUAUGUGUACACCCAUGCCCAUUUACUAGAUCCGCCCCUGAUUUGAUGGCUACUAACUUCUAACUUUCGCAAAAAUUAUUGGGUGUACAUGUGUACACCCAUGUCUCUUUACUAGAUCCGCCCCUGCAUUAACCUGUGAUUGCUCUGCUAAUAGAGCUAUUGUGCGUUUUACUGAUUUUUUAAUAUUCGAGUCUACAGAUCUAAUUCAUUCACUGUUAGGCAAUGUUGGAGAAUUUUGGCCCUCUUUUUAUGUGUGUGUCUUGGGUAGCAUAUAGUUUUUUUUCGAGUAGAUCUAAGCAGAUCUGGUUAGUUACAUUUACAAAUUUAACUUAAAAAGCACAAUGAACACUAGAUCAGUCAAAUACUUCACCCUGUCGAAAGCUACUGUCACUCACAAUUUGUGAGGUCACUGUUGUAUCGGGUACUAGUUGAUUGUGCCUGAGGAUUUUUUUUUAGGUUGUGAGUAAUUUAUUGAGGAUUUUUUUAGGUUGUGAGUAAUUUAUUGAUUGGGGCACGUCUAGAGUAAUUUAUUGAUUGGGGCACUUCUAGAGUAAUUUAUUGAUUGGGGCACUUCUAGAGUAAUUUAUUGAUUGGGGCAGUGCUGGCACAAAUUGAAAAAUGCACACAUGGAACUGAUCUGUUCAUCAACAUUAGUUAGGUUUUAGAGGGCUGUCUUCAUUCUCAAGUCUCAAGUUGCCACAAGCUCUCAUGUACUUAGAAAUUUCUAAGCCAGAAACCCCAGAUAAUUUUGCUGCCCCCCUAGACUUUCUAAAUGUGCCACCUUGGUUACUGCUCUUUCUUUCACUUUAUUUUUCUUUUUAGUUGUUGACGGAUGAUUCUCACCUAUAUAUCUGAUUGCUUUAUUUAUUUUUUUGUGGAGUAUGUUGUGAAAUAUUCUUUGCUUUGUUAACUUCAUCUUUUCCUUCUAACGUUGGCUUGUGCUCUGUGCUCUGUGCUGAUGCUUUCUUAGGUGCUCUUUCUUUCUCUAUUUUUUUCCUUUUGUAGUUAUUAACCGAUGAUUCACACCUAUAUAUCUGAUUGCUUUAUUUAUUUUUUUGGAGUAUUUUGCGAAAUAUGUUUUACUUUGUUUAUUUCAUCUUUUCCUUCUAACGUUGGCCUGUGCUCUGUGCUUUCUUAGGUUCAAACUGUAAAUGGUGGAGAUGAAAUAUAUAAUGAAGACCAACGGGCAAUAUACAAGUAAACUUCUUAUUUCUCUUUUUAAAUAUUUGCUCUACGACUUAAGUUGGAUAAAAACGUAAUGGAUGAUUUUGAUUGUGUUUUCAAGGUUAUUAUCUGAAAGAAUCAAAUCUGAAAAUGUCCCUGAAAAUAAGGAUGGAUCAGAUGACGAUGAUGAUGACGAUGAUGAAGAUGAGGAUGAAGAGGGUGGUGAUGACGACGAUGAUGCUGAAGAGGAUUUCUCCGGAGAAGAAGAUGGGGGUGACGACGAUGAUGAAGAUGAUGAUCCUGAGGCUAAUGGUGAAGGAGGGAGUGAUGACGACGAUGAUGAUGAGGAUGGUGAUGAUGAUGGCGAUGAUGAAGAUGAGGAUGACGAUGAGGAUGACGAUGAGGAGGAUGACGAAGAUGAGGAAGACCAGCCCCCUUCCAAGAAGAAGAAGUGAUUUGCUCUUCCAUGGAUUCACCUCAGCUUCUCCAUGCUGUUAGUUGGGUUGUUUAGAUCAUGGAACAGCUUUGGGACCAAUGUAGCUUGUUGCUUGUCGUGGUAUCGUAGUUUAGGAAAAUUUGACCUCUGAUGAAUCAUUAUCUUGUUUUCUUCACUGUGCAUGUAGUCUUAAAUUGUGUGUUCUCGAUUUUUACUUUGGAACUGUGAUUGCAUUCAAUUUUAUUCUGUUGCUCACCUCAGGCUUGGAUUGUAUGUGAUGCUAUGUUGUUGCUGAAAAGGUUAGGCUUGGAUUGUAUGUGAUGCUAUGUCUGUUACUGAGAAGAUUAGGCUAGGCCAGAAUUGAUGCUGGAGCAUCUUGUAAUGUGCUUCCAGCAUCAUGCAUUGUGCUUUUUGACAUGUAUACUACGAACCAUUAUCCAAAUUUAUGGUUACUAUUGUUGGGGUCCUUUUAUCUAAUUACACCAGUGAUUGGACUACAGGUUUGAACUGCACUCGGUUCGAGGUGUCUGACCGGGACAACAGCAGUACCACCUCUGUCAAGUGACGUUGUUACUUUUAGAUAUUUAUUUUUUUACAAAUUACAAAGUAAAUAUUUUAUUAUUAAAAUAUUUCUAAUGUUAAAAUAAGUUAUAAAAAAUAGAUAAUAUUCAUAAAAAAUUAAAUAAAGACGAAGGGUCAAAUAAGAUGACACAGAGGCUAAAACGUCAUUUUUAAUGGGAGAGAGGGAGUAAGACUUUACAACAUCUAAAGGGCAUUAGUUAUAGAUUGCAGUAUUACACUAUUUGAUCAUUAGUGAUCGGACUACGCAGUAAUACAGUUUGAGCAUUAGUGAUCGGACUACGCAAGUAAGCCAUCAUCAGUAACUGAAAAGGUAUUUAACUAAAAUUGUACUGUUGAAAGUAAAAAAAAAACACUUGAAGAAAGUGACAUACUACAAACGGCCUGACGGCACACAUUCCCCUUCAUGACAAACACAGUCCUCUUUCCCUUCCAAAAUCAUAUCAAAAUGUGAAAAAUAACCAGAAAAAAGCCUACUAUUAUACUAUAUACGCGUAAGCUCCUCUUAUCUGCAACUGACUGAAAAGGAACAUAACAUCUAUUCCCUGCCCUAGAGUUCCAUUCUUUUGCCUAGACUAAAAAAACGAAUUUUCCUUCUGAAACGAUCCUUCUGUGCAGAGAGCCAUACAUCACGAUUCAUGACUCAGGUUCUGACUUGGAAAAAUCCUGGGGCUCACUGCUUGCAAAUGCUAACCAUACAGCAGUACCAGUUAAGUAAAAGAAGAUAGAAGGCACAAAGAGUGAUAUCUGCACACAAAGCAGUACCAUUAUGGCGAUCAGAGUGAUUCAUAAAAUGAAAUAUAACUUAUGAAGAUGGAUUGAUGUCAUACACUCCAAGAAUGAGUUGAAUCAAGCAGAAAGCCUGUCAGUGCAAUGCCUACAAUUCCUGGCACAGCGCCUACAGUGUUUGUGAUUCCCUAGAGCAUGAAGGAAACAAAUAAAUAACAAUCACUCAUGAUGGAACCUAAAGAGUACAAACUGUUAGUGUCAUCCUCUUAAGAACCUAGGUGAAAGAAUGUUACGUUCCCUUUUCUCUUAUAAAGAAGAUAAAUACUGAAAAACUGACAAGACGGAACUUUAAUGACAUACCAGGAGAAUGCUUGCAUAUUCACGAGAGAUAUCUUGAUGUGUGCAAUAAAGCCCUGUUUAACAACCAAAAUAUUUAGGUUUGGACCUCAGAACCAUGCAAAAAAUGGAAUUUUGAUUGCAAUUUUAACAACAUGACCUGACAAUGCGAAGCUAGAGAGUGCUAGACCACUUGUAAGAAAAGCAACAAUUUCCCAAGGAGGCAGUCCAAGAUCCACAGAGGAAAGCAUCAUGAAUGUCGCAGGUGACACAAAGGCAAUUGUUUGGCAAAUUUUUCGUACCUACAGAAUUUAAGCAGCAUAUUCAAUUUUUUCAGUAGAUCAGCAAUUUUUAUUCUAUGAACUAACUGAAAAUGCUAUUAUGAGUUAUCACACAGCAUAUAUUAUGUUCACUCCUGAGAAUUGUCAGGGUUAUACAACCUCUAUAGACUAUAUUGGACUUCCACUUGAGGAAGCCAACAGAAGCAAUUUGGGAGUCUAGAGAGUACUAGAGUUUGCUGCAAGCAGCAGGGACUGGCACACGGUAGUCAAUCAAGGGCACUGUACUAGUAGUACUAGUGAAGUUUAAGAGGGCGCGUCGAGGACAUGUCUAGUUAAACAGAGGUGGGGCAGCACAGAUUCAAUUAGUUCUAGCUCCAGUUCCCACUUGUCAAACGCUUGUACUAGUGUUCAGCUUAUUUCUACCUCAUCAGAUCAUGUAAGUGUGCACCUCACACCCCGCGUUAUAAUCCAUUUUGAGACAACCUUCUUCUUCAUACAUAGAUAUGCACUUUCCUGCAUAUUCUAAAAAAACACAAGUGAAGUAUCACCUUACUUCCUUCCAGCUGCUACUACCAGCCCCUCUUGCUUUCUCUAGCAUCAGCCCCCCAUCACUAUUCUCUAAAAUCUAAAUGCCAACCAUAGUAACUACACAGCGGAGGUUUAACACUCUGCAACAAAGGCAUAAACAACCACCUCAAGUGGAGGUCAAAUAAAAAAAGUGAAUGCUUUACCUUCGUGGUGUCAACUCCAUUUGAUAUCAAGUUGUCUGCAAAAGGUGCUGCAAUAGAUGUAAUGAUCAUUGAACCCAAAGGAGGAAGGACUGACACCUAGAGGGAAGAAAAUGUGAAUUCAAAAGCACUACGUGAGGCUGGAGUAAAAGCUAGAUAUCAACGAAAAACAAUAGCAAAUCAAGAUCGCCUAAUGAGGGUGGGUCUUUCAAUAUGAGGCCUUAUUAAUAUAACUUAAGAAAGAAAGCAUGUACAUACCCAUGCUGCUUCUGUCAAGUUCAGGUUCAGCUCCUCACUGUGUAAGAAGAGGUGGGGAGGGGGGGGGGGUCAGUAAGAAGCUAUUGUUACAAAUAUUUGACACAACGUAAUGAUUAAUGAUGACCAUACAGAAACAUUUAACACUUCCCUACAUUUAUAGAUCGGGUAACAGGUCAUGCUAUAGACUGACAUAUAACAUCAAAUGUACCAAUAGUGAUGAGAAAAACUACAACAAUGUGCUGUAAAUUCAUGAUAUCUGAUCUCAACAAUGGUCCCUUUCUCUAAGUACUAUAAAGUAACUUUAGGAGGGAAAUGCAAGGUACCAAACCUAAAGAACGUUGGUAGCCAAGACAAACAAGUAUAAUGCCCCCAACUUCCACAAAAGUGUGCAUAUAUCAUUGCCCACACUGCCUUGCUUUUGAAAAAUGCUCCCCAAGGCACAUCCUACAGAAAAAGUAAUGAGCCUGCUAUAUUGGCAACAUUUAUAAAACAUAAACAAUCUUUAUACAGAAAACAUUGCGUCCAUUUUGUAAGAUGUUUACAUUGCAAUAUUGCAUAACAAGAUUUUUUGAUAGUGUGAUAAACUUCAUUGGCACAUAGUCGAAUUAGAUUUUGUUCUUCUCAGACUAAAAGUUCGCUUCAUUGCAAGUACAGUGUGUUGACGCCAACUUGUUAGGAAGAUAACGUCACAGAUGAGAUGAAAUGGACACUGAAUUACAUUGGUUAUUCUACCUUGACUAUGGAACUCAUUUUUUAAAAUUUUUCAUCAAUGUCAGAACUUGAUAACAGUUCUGUGACUUGAUCCCUGAAAAUAUAGUACAGUGUGGUUUCGGUUGGCAGAAAACAACCUUUAGUGAAUUUUGCAGAUCUUCCAAUGACGAGUGUGAUGAUUCCGAAGACAUGGCGGAUGAGAUAAGACCAUCAGAUCCAGUAGAACUUUGUCCAAGGUCUGCAGAGUAGAAGUAACUUUUAUAAUGUUUGGACUGAUUAUAUGAGUGAAGUGUAACAAGCAUGGGGUGAUAGUUAAAAACAUACUUUUAGAUAACACAAUUAAGCUCAAAGGGUAGUCAACAGUGAUCAUAUAGAAUACCCUCUAUUAAAAAUGAAGUCAAAGAUAGUGCAAACCAGAAUAAGUAUAAUCAUGCAAACCAUCUUGGUUAGUGCAUAAAAUCAACUUGAUACAUGGACCUUUGAGGAGGUAGUCCUUCAUGUAAUGACCCAAGAGUAGAAGUUUUUACUCCAAACACGACUUUUUUUUUUCUCAAAUACGCAGGAGAUGCGAAUACAGAUAGUAACUAGCAGAAACUUGAUCAAGGAAAUUCUCCAUGUCUUUGGUGAGGCAUCAGGUCUGGUUACUAGCAUUUCUAAAUGUUUCGUGAGUCCAAUCCAAUGCAGAGCACCAAGAUAUUGAAGUUGUGCAAGAGGCCUUCCAUGCAAAAUGCAAGAAUUCCCCUGCAAGUAUCUUGGUCUUCCACUCUCUGUCAGCAAACUUUUUAAGGCAGAUUUCUGUGCAAUAAUUGACAAGAUUGCUGAUAAGUUACCUAGAUGGAAACCAAGUAUGAUGCAUCGGCCACCCUCAACCGUUCAGUGCUCACAGCUAUUCCAAUGUAUCAGCCCAUAGCAUUGGAAUUCCCUAAAUGGGCAAUUAAAGCAGUUGGUAAGAUUCAAAGAGCUUUUCUAUGGAAAGGCCGCAAAGAGGCCAAUGGAGGCCAUUGUAUUGUUGCUUGGGAGCGGGUCAAGACACUAAUUUUUUUCUCGAACAUGCAGGAGAGCUGUGUAUAUUUAUAUUAUAAAGAAAGAAAGGGGAUAGAAGUCCCAUAUAAGGCAACCUCUAUGCCUCGCCUAUGAGAUAAGAGGAAGGUUGUAAGGAAAAAAACACCAUACAGCACUCAACCCCAUUUUAUAAGGAAGAAACGACCUGACCUGUCUAGACACUUACACUAGCACCUCUCCACAACCAAAAACUAGCUUCUGAAGUUUUCGAGCACCAGCGAAGCACCAAAGACUCAAUUCCUCUUUGAAGGAAUGUUGUGCCUUUGCUAGGGAAGGAGUUGCACCGUCAAAAGCUCCUCCAUUCCUGUGAAGCCACAAGGUCCAUGAUCCCAGGAUCGCCAUACUGUUAAAACCUUUUCUUUGGGCCUUCGCAAUUUUUUUUGUUUGCUUUUCUGCAACAAUCAGCGAAGCUUUUCUUGUUCCUUCUAGGUACAGUGCGCUCAAGCCCAAGAGGGGCUACGGAAUUAUACCAAAAUACCUAGCAAAACACAAUUAAUAAGGAUAUGCUGCAAUGUCUCCAGCACUUAUUUCUAAUCGCUUGCCAUACGAACACCUUGCAUUUGGGAGGAGCCCAUGACUUUCAGAAUUGAUCUGGGAGGUAUGGGAAUUCUUGAUUUAGAGAUCCUUGGAUGGGCAUUGCGAAUGAGAUGGUUGCGGCUUAAAAAGACCCAACCUGACCAACCAUGGGCUGGUCUAGAUACCCAAGUGCAUCCAAUGCAUUUGCUCUGUUCUCCAUCUCAAUAUCCAAGUGAUCCGAAUGCAUUUGCUCUGUUCUCCAUCUUCAUCACAUCUAUUGUUGGGGAUGGCAACAUAAGUCUUUGUUGGAGCAACAAGUGGCUACAUGGAAAAUCCUUACCUGACCUUGCACCUACUCUUUGUGCAUAUGUGAGAAAAAGAAUUGCUAACUGAAGAAAGUAAACGGGGCCCUAAGAGAUAACACCUGCAUUUGUGACAUUAGAGGUGUCAGCGGAGGCAUUAUCUGAAUACCUCCAACUUUGGGACCCUCUAAUCAGGAUUGAGCUCAGUCCUGGAGUAGAUGACCAGCAUAUGGAUGCCAUCCAGUGAGUUCACAACAAAGUCAGCUUACUGCCAUAUUUGUGGGAUCAGUGGAAUUUGGGCCAUGGAGGUAAAUAUCGAAGACCUGGGCUCCACCUCAUGCAAAUUCUUUGUUUGGUUGGCCUCCUUAAACCGUUGUUGGAUGGCUGAUCGUUUGUCGUGUCAUGGACUUGAUCAUCCGGAGCGCUGCCCAUUGUGCGAUCAAGAGGAAGAGAAGGUGUAACAUUUACUCACUUCUUGGGUAUUUGAGAGUGUGUGGUUUUUAGUGCUAUCAAUUGUUGGGCUGCAGCACUUAGCUCCAGGCUUGGAGAACUACAAGUUUACAGAAUGGUGGUGUCAUGCUUUACAGAAGGUUCCCAAUUUAUCUCAUAAGAAUGGCUGUAUUUUUUAGGGGGUUUCUCCUAAUCUUGCUGCCAUCUUGUGGGAUAUUAGAGAUGAGACAAUGUUAUGGUGUAUGGCAGGUGCCAAAGGGCUCCGUAGCAGAUGGCCAUAAUUGUUUAGCUCAUGGUCGUUGGUUAUGGUUAAGAUUUGUUGGCGAAUCCUUUUUGAAAGUUCUUUGGCCAUAUAGGGGUGUACGAGUCAUCUAGACUCCUUUCUUCUUACUAUAAUGAUGCACAGUUCUCCUGUGUGUUUGAGAAAAAAACUAAUAAAAAAUUCUAAGAAAAUAUUUCUAUCAUGGCGCCUGAUAUCAUAAGGACAGUUAGACAGAUCAGCACUUACUUAAUAUGCCUUCUUUGUCACCGAACCGUUGCACUUUAAGAGAUUCAAAUCCUAAGCACCUGCAGACAAAACAGAAAAUAAAGUUCACUCACAAUAGAUUAUUUGGUACCUACAUAGAAAUAUCUGCUUACCAAACAAUCCCAAGAAGGCCAAAUAUGUAAAAGACAGACUCCCAGCCAAGGUUCUGAAUGAUGGGAGGGGCAAACAGGAGUCUGCAAUAUAAUAAAACGGGUAAAACAUUAACUGUAGCAAAGUUUCUGCUAUUACUUCAAGCUGCAUAGUCAUACAGACAAUUGUAGGGCAAUAUUUUUUUUCUCGAACAGCGCAGGAGAACUGCGCGUCAUUUCAUUAAGAUAGAGGAAAAAGUUACAUGGGUCAAGAGACCCAACUCACACACCCAAAAACUCACACACCCCACACCAGCCACUAGGAUACAGAAACGCCACUCUAAGAACAGGGAACGACCCAAAAAACCUCCAUGCCUUAAGCCCCAACAGGCAGCAACCUAACAACCAAUUCCUGGAGUUUGGAGUUCCCUGCUGAGCACCAGAGACCUCCCUCUGAGCUGAUAGCCCAAAGGACUUCCUGAAUACUUGGCCUCCUAUUAUCAAAAACACAAGAAUUGCUUCCAAAUCUCCCAAGCCACCAAAAUAAUCAAGGAGUUGAGACCUUUACGCGCCUCCUUUGGGACAGCAGCAGUUGUCUUCUUCCACCAUCCUGAGAAACGGGUUGAAGUAGGUUGUGGAGCCAACUGCAGCAGCCCUAACUGUUGCAAAACCAUAGCCCAAACUUGUCUAGCAAAGGCGCAGCCCACUAGCAAAUGAUUUAUUGAUUCAUCCUCCUGAUCACACAGUGGACAAGCCUCAGGAUGAGGAAGAUUCCUCCUAGCUAAACGGUCAGCUGUCCAAACCUUGUUGUGAAAGACUAGCCAGAUAAAAAACUUGCAUCGCGGAGGAGCCCAAGUUUUCCAGAUUCUUCUCCACGAGCCAAACUUGAUGGAUCCUUCAAAAAGUGCAGCGUAGGCCGAUUUACUGCUGUAGGAACCAUCCUGUGAAAAUUUCCAUCUAAACUGGUCUGGAGUUUCAGGAUGCAACAUGAAGCCAUCUACCAUAUCCCAAAUCUGAAAGUAUUGGAUGCGCUCUUAAGAUCCGGUGGCUGUGGGCACAAAAGACAGAUGAUGACAGACCUUGGGCUGGCCUUCCUAUUACGGUCCCUCAUAAGGCCAGGGCUCUAUUCCAUGUUGCAGUUGAUGCCAUAGUCGGAAAUGGAGAGAAAAUAUUGUUUUGGUCAGACAGGUGGUUGGAUGGGCAUACCAUGGCUGAACUAGCGCCUAAUUUGCACAAGGGGGUUCCUAAGCGAACAGCCAAUAGAAGGACCGUGGCCCAGGCCCUGCAUAAUAAUAGUUGGACCCAGGACUUUAAGGGAGCCCGUACAGUUGUAGGGCAAUAUUGUUCUGAUAAACAAGAAAAAAGUUAACAUCUGGUCAUUAAGAAGGUCUUGACUCUUGCUCAGUUAUCAAGAUUUGAAAUGAUACAGAAAACAACCAAAUUUUCCAUCAUACUAAGGAUGACAAAAUUGCACUUCAUCCAUGUGCCUUGAAGAAUGAAACAAAUGAAACCAGAAGAACAGUCUCAAGCAGUUCACGAGAAAAAGAUUUAGUAUUUUAUCUUUCUAAAUAAAUCUUUUACUGCAUUCUUCUAAGUUUACAUCCAAAUACGUAACAAGUUAGAGCAGGAAAUACUUUUUAAAGCUUUAUACUUACAAGGACAAAACAGUACUACCAUCAACCUAUAUCUCUUAUAAUGCUAGUCCCCACUACAAAUCUAUCUCAACAUGCAAACUAUCCACAUCACCCCCCAUUAACUAUCCACAACAUCUCCCACUAAUAGCCAUGUCGUCCCACUAAUUUCCAACUUCUUAAUGCAAGCUAUCCACAUCAUCUCCAUUUAAUUUUAUUCUAAUUUUUUCGUAAUCCCACAGCAACGCGCGGGGUAUCUUGUUACUAAAGAAAGUAUGUAAGCUACUGUUUAGAGCCCAACACAGAUGGAAAAAAAAUCCAAUUUAAUUGAAUUCAGCGUUUUACAUGCAUUAGCACGUACAUGGAAGUAUGUAAAUUGUUGCAUAAAGGAUCAUGAAAAUAUUGGGCACCAUGUAUAUUUUUUUCAAUUAAGGAAUAUUUUAUUAAUUUCAGAAAAUAACCAUAUAUCUUAAUACAACAUACCCUAAGACACUUCCAAAGCUCAAACCACCAAAGACAACAGCAACUGCUCUUGACCGCUCUUGCAAGGGAAUGGACCUGCAUGUGAGUGCCAACGAAAGCCUGAAGUUUCAAACUACUCUUGCAAAAUGCCAAAUUUGUAUGUCAUAUGAAACAGUGUGAAUUAUAAUAAAAAUUAAUGUGAUUGACAAAUGUAGCCAUCAUCCGACUCUGCACAAGUAGCUAUGGAAAAUUUCAUACUCUAAAUAUUAAAAGAGGAGCAUGGGGGAAAAUGCCAGUACAGAAGCUGCCAUAUUGUGCUAGAAUUUAGAACCACCACUAUGUAGAAAACAAAAUUGACACAUGUUGUGCUAAGGGAAGUCCCAACAAUAAAUGUCAAGAAAGGAACCAAACUAGGAUAAGAUCUUACCUAGCAAUUAAAUCUGUAGCAGCUGAUGGUGAAACACCUUCUCCAAUGCCUACCUAGCAGCAUCGAACACAAUUAACAAAGAAUAAAUGCAAACAAAAUAAAGAUGGUAAAAUGUUUUUGUUCAAGUUAACACACCCGAAGUACAGGUAAACAAGAUGCGAUGACUGGACACUGUGCUCAAAUGUGAAUGCUCCAGAAUUUAUGCGGAAUUAUGGAUAUCAGCAUGUCAUAAUGCUUCUGCAUGGUAACGUGUUAUUUCACUAUCUCUUUGCAAUACUUAGCUCUGGGAGUUUCAACACUUCUUGUAAUUAUCUUUGUUAAAUACAUCUGUCCCAAAAGAAUGUCAUUCUAACUUGGUCCUAAGUUAAACUGUCAUAAGUUUGACCAAACUUAUAUAACAAAGACCAAUAUUUAUGAUACCAAAUUAGUACCCAUUGGAUUCAUCAUGAAAUAUGUUUUUAUAGUAUACCUAUUUGGUAUCAUAAAUGUUAAUACUCUUCUCUAGAAAGUUACCCAAAAAUAGAAUGGCAUUCUUUUUGGGAUGGAGGUAGUUAUAAAUGUGCCCAUAUGCACGGAAUUAGGUUCUUCAUGAAGAACUACAUUUCGAGCGGCCGCUUGUGCUCAAUAUCUAUAUUAAUGUUAACUAUAUUACUCAAUACAACCCCCAUUCUCUCACUUCGAGGGAUGCAUUGACAAGGAAAUAAUGAGAUACAGAACAGUUUAAUGAAUACAAGAGCACAAUAAGUAGCGCAAAUUUCGGAUCAACAGUCCCUGAGCCGAGACUUUUGGUAAGUAGGUUACCAGGAUCCUUGACAAGACAAGCCCUGGCAUAAACCCUGCUACAACAGGAACUAUAGCAGUGGCCAAAGACCAUGUCACAACACCGACCUCAAGCACUUUCCUACAAUCAGCAAAAAAUAGAUAAAUAGACAUUAUGUGUAUUGUAGGAGUAAAAUUUGAUCAAAAUUCAUCUGUUUUUAGUUGUGAUGGUAAUAUAAAGGUAUUUUCAUCCUGGAAAGGGGUAAAACAAAUAAGGAUAUGUUCAGCUUAUGAACCAUACAGUAGCAAUUGUGAUUAUUAUAUCAGUAUUUCAUAAACAUAGGCACUCUGCAUUCGUAAAUAUUCCAGAUGAUUUGGUUACCCUAAACAAACCUUCCGCCAAACAAUUUUGCCAGCCAUCCUCCUGGUAGUUGACUCAACGCAUAACCCCAAAAGAAUGAGGACUGAACUAAGCCAGCAGUUGACGAGUUCCAACCAUAUUGAUGUGACAUUGGAAUAAUUGCGAUACUCAAGUUAACCUGCAAAACUAGAAUACUGCAAUGAAUAGAUGCUCCUCAGGAAAGGAUGAUGGACCGAGCAUUCAUAAAAGCUUUUAUAGAACUACAUAAACAUGACACGUGAAGAAGAGUGCAUUAAACUGUAAAUAGCAAUUUCAUUUCUUCAAACAAUUUCAUGCUCGUUAGGAAAUGCCUAAAAACCCUGUUGGCCCCCAGUGAAGGUUACAUGUUUGUACUAGUGAUGCAAAUGAUUGCCAAAACGAGCCCCGAAAAUGUGACAGUCAGAUAUGGCACGUUUCCUUAGGGCAAGCUGCAAUCACAAAGAAUAUUUCAUCAGUAGACUUCAGCUAAAGUUAUCUAAAGGAAACCCAGAGGAAAAAGGAAACAGUAACCACAUAGUGUAGAAUCAUUAUGCCAGUUGCCACCCAAAUUCCCAAUGAACAUCCGAUAAAUGACAUUGGUGACACUUGCUACUAAACCAUAAACCGUAGUUUUACAUGAGCAAAGCUAUAGCAGAUCAACAACUCGAAUCCAUACAAUCGUUUUAGUUCUAGCAGCUCAAAAUAUCAUAGAGGAAAAUCGUAUCAGUGCAAUUAGCCGGCUGUCAGCUUGUCAUCCCGUGCGUGCCAACUGGCAACUGCCAAGGACGGAACCGUCCACAUGUGAGACAAACAGGAUGAGUCACCUUGUCCAUGUUGCAGAUGACGAAGGCGAGCGAGGUCGCGCCGAUGAGCUUGUACCGCUCGGCCAACCCCUCCCACGGCGGCCACUUCAGCUCCAAAGCCCCGGCCACUUCCCCUUCCAACUCCUCCUCUCCCGUCGCUCCAUGCUCCUCCUCCCCAACUAUCCCCGGAAUCGAGCGCUUCUCCACGGCGCUCGCGAACCCUCCCGCGCCCCCGCCGUCGCCGGGUGACACCCUCACGGCCCGGGGCCAGCUGCGGCGCCGGUGCGGGAGGGGCACGCGUGGGCGUGGCGGGAGCAUGCGGAGGAGGGGCCGGUGGCGGCCGCUACCGAGGAGGAGCAGGUGGCGCUCGGCCUGCAGCGCCGAGGCCGUCAUGUCGUGGAGCGAGCUGCGAGCAAGGGGCGUGGAGCGUGGUGUUCGAACUCGUGCGUGCUCUGGCGAGCAGUGCCAGUAUAUCGAGCGGCCACGAGAAGAGGAAAAAGGGUGCGCAACUGUUGCGCUUUGAACUCUGUCUCUAGAGUUGCGCGGCGGAGAGGAGAGCACGAAGCCAAGAGUGUGUGGUUGCCGUGGCACGUGGGCCACACAGGGGCCCACGUGUUCGUCUACCUAGUGACGCCACGUGGCCGCUGCUUGCCUCGCUGGCAUCCCCACAUGCUACCCUCACCGGAAGAAAACGAAAAUAGAACGCAAUCGACAGCAACCAUGAAGCAAGCAAACAGUAC